GAGUUUUUAGUAUAUAAGUACACUUACCUUCCAAGUAAAAAGAUUUCAAGUUGUAAAAAAACUCA
rnacentral:tRNA from 1 species